UAGAGUUUGAUCCUGGCUCAGGAUGAACGCUAGCUACAGGCUUAACACAUGCAAGUCGAGGGGAAACGACAUCGAAAGCUUGCUUUUGAUGGGCGUCGACCGGCGCACGGGUGAGUAACGCGUAUCCAACCUGCCCAUCACUUGGGAAUAACCUUGCGAAAGUAAGACUAAUACCCAAUGAUAUCCCACGAAGGCAUCUGAAUGGGAUUAAAGAUUUAUCGGUGAUGGAUGGGGAUGCGUCUGAUUAGCUUGUUGGCGGGGUAACGGCCCACCAAGGCAACGAUCAGUAGGGGUUCUGAGAGGAAGGUCCCCCACAUUGGAACUGAGACACGGUCCAAACUCCUACGGGAGGCAGCAGUGAGGAAUAUUGGUCAAUGGGCGAGAGCCUGAACCAGCCAAGUAGCGUGCAGGAAGACGGCCCUAUGGGUUGUAAACUGCUUUUAUAAGGGAAUAAAGUGAGUCUCGUGAGACUUUUUGCAUGUACCUUAUGAAUAAGGACCGGCUAAUUCCGUGCCAGCAGCCGCGGUAAUACGGAAGGUCCGGGCGUUAUCCGGAUUUAUUGGGUUUAAAGGGAGCGUAGGCCGGAGAUUAAGCGUGUUGUGAAAUGUAGAGGCUCAACCUCUGCACUGCAGCGCGAACUGGUCUUCUUGAGUACGCACAACGUGGGCGGAAUUCGUGGUGUAGCGGUGAAAUGCUUAGAUAUCACGAAGAACUCCGAUUGCGAAGGCAGCUCACGGGAGCGCAACUGACGCUGAAGCUCGAAAGUGCGGGUAUCGAACAGGAUUAGAUACCCUGGUAGUCCGCACGGUAAACGAUGGAUGCCCGCUGUUGGCCUGAAUAGGUCAGCGGCCAAGCGAAAGCAUUAAGCAUCCCACCUGGGGAGUACGCCGGCAACGGUGAAACUCAAAGGAAUUGACGGAAGGGCGAAUU
rnacentral:rRNA from 1 species